CUUCUCUCUCCCUUUCGCAAUGUUCCACCCCUGCGGUACGUCUAUCGAGAGAUGCGACGCUGCUUUUUCUCGUUCGCCGCCUAAUUUUCGCGUAAACUCGUCUCUCUCACGUGCCAUUCCGCAUUAGCCGGCUUUUUCUUCCGCGCCUUCUUCCGGUCAUUUCAUUCUCAUCGCGUCCGAAUCCGCGUCCUUUAACCAACUAGACGAUUCCUUUCUUCUACUCUACUGAAAUUUCUCAAGAUCCGUUCUUUCGUCGAUUUACUUUCUUUUCGAUACGUUAGAUUCCUUCGAGCUCCUUUCGAGCGUAGUCUUCGCAAUUGGCAGAAGAGAGCGGGGAGGAAGGUCAAUCACGAAAUCAGACUUCCAGCCAUCCAACCGAUCGAACUCGUUCGCCUAAGAAAGACGCCUAAAUUUAGAUCCAACCGGCAGACAGUAACGUAACUGGUUGAAACCCUGCGUUACGUGAGAUUCGAACGAUACACUGUCCUAUUAUAACAUCGUGUAAUUAUUUCGGCCCAUUCUUCGCAUACAAUGCGAUUUACGUUACGUAUCCCUGUGAAGCUCGACUCUCCACGUGCAACUAUCUCCGUUGUCAUUCGACUUCACUGUUUGCGAUCGAAGGAACCUUCCGAUACAAGAAACUGUCGCAAACUUUACCAAGUUUCGUCGUUUCAUUUCUCCAUAUAUUCGCGAUUCUUUCGGCCGCGUGUCCAAUUCCAAGCAAGUAUUCAAAGAUUGGAAAAUCGAUCGUUACCGGUGACCUCUUCUCCAUCUAUCUCAACGCGUUUACGAUAGACACGAGGGAAUUCCUCAACGAUUAAACAUUUCUAGUCGACGUCGUGGCACAACUGGUGGUCGAAGCGCGGUGUUAGCGCGUUCCAGUCAUGACCCCGAUCGUUUUGCGACAGGCCGAAACGCGAGGUGUAACAGGAAGCGAGGAUAACGGGCCAGGGGAGACGGAGAGAGUCAAGCUGCUGGAUACGCGAGAACGGUUUCAGUAUUUCCAGUAUCGGUAAGCAGCAGGCUAUGGCUGCGCGUAGUCGUCGUCCCCCUGAUGGCCCUCGGCAACAUCGAGGGUUACUUUCCUCCCAUUCUCUGCCGCCCUUGUUCGGGCUGGCCGCGCACUUCUCUCUCUUUCUCCCUCUUGUUCUCUCCGAGUCUCCCUCGAGCCCGUACUCGGUCGCACGCGGAAUAUGCGCGGUUAGACAGGCGCGCACCAGCUACCCUUUCACCCUUCCACCCUCGGUGGCCCGCCAAGGGGCUCGAACCGGCGAGGAGAGGGUGCUUUACCGCUGUUGGUGGGACUACGAAGCUGGAGGAGAAGCUCCCUCGGGUGGGGGAGGGACAGGGUGCGGAGGCACCGUCGCCAGCGAGCGAUGCAGUACCGUCGAGACGCUCGACCGAGCGAUACCGCCUUCGCAAGAGUCGAAUCGACGCCGCCAUCGGCGAAACGACACCAAAGCAUAACACCACCAGUCGCCACCUUCGGCAUCUUCCGUUCCUGCCUCUAUCAUCGUCGUCAUGUAUCGCGAGAACGAUCGACGAUCUUCGCGCGAAUCAUUCCUUCGCUAUCGAUCUAGCGUGCGAAAUAUAUCGAAGACGCUCGGACGCUCGCGGGUUGCAUCGCGAACAGCGAACCGCGCCAAAUCCCGAUCGAAUCGCGGACCUCGAGAAUGUCGAAGGAAGUAGGAUCUCUCCGGCUGAAAGGACUCGAACCACUCAACCACUCGCCGGGGAUAUUGUCUUGUCACAGCAGUACGCCUUUAAAGAGUUACUGGUGUGAUGGGACAUUGUCCUCGUCUCGUGGCCAUCGUCGAACGCAGUCUCAUUCGUUCCAGUGUUCUCUGGAUUCCAAAGUGGAAGGAACUCCGACAAAAGUGUUGGCGGUCUCUUUGUGUUUCGUGAUAGAUUUGCAAAGGUGGAGAAGCGGAACAAAUAAGAACGAUAGAGUUCAUGGGAUAUUUGCAGGUAUCGGAGGACAGGGAACACGAAACAAGAAGAAGAGGCGAAAGAAGCUCCGUAAAUUUCGUGAACUUUCGUCUUUCGAAUCUCGAGCGUUAUCUUCGUGAAAGAUUAGAGUAACUCCGCGUCCCUCGACAGGUGACCGUAACGGGCGAAGGCUCUGCCAAGGUGUCUCUUAAUUCUUGCCAGCGUGGAUAUCACGGCGUUUCCGGUCGAUAAGGCAGCUUCCGGAAGGUGCGGCUACGAUGGUUGAUCGAACGACUUUCUUCUCGGUUCAUGGGAAGAAGCGAGAACGAACGAAAAAGGAAUUCUUCGUUUAAGUUCGACUAAAAAAAAAAGAGAGAGAAAAAAAACAGACGAAGCUUCCAUUCGAUAUAAUCGCUCGUUCCCCUUCCACGAACAAGAAAGUCGUCAGAACUGUCCAUUCUGUCCAUACUGUUCCCAAAACGUUAAAAUCACUGGCACCGGUGGACCGUAGAAUGGAUUCUGAAUGGAAUCGUAUCGUGAUGUCUGAAUUGGCAAGAUGGCGAUGUCAGAACGUUUCAGGUGUGUUUUCUUCGCGAACCAGCGAUCAUCCGUGGCCCCGACUUAUUUUCUUCGAUGGAUUCCAUUUUCCUAUCCCCGUAAGGGUGGUUCUCGGAAUCUAAGGGAUUUCGUGAAAAGUAUAUUUCUUCGAACAAUCGAAUCGAACCUAUGGAUUCGUUUCGACCACGCCACACGUCGAUAAAUAAAGGCAAUUCUUUCCAUUCUCGCGGAUACGUAACAAAGUGGUUACACGCAUCCGUUCUCGUAACAGAAUCGUCGACGCAUUAUCGCGAUCGAACAGUUGACGAGUUCGUCCACUUGGCCUAGUUCCGGGGUGGAGUAGUCCACACAUAGUAUCUUCCGUGGUUUCAACCCCGAAAUAUCUGCGGUCGUUUAUUGAAUAAUGAAUCAGGCUUGUUUCCAUCCUCGACGCAGUGUACCGAAUUAAAGCGGCGCCACGACGGGGCAGUGAAGAACUCGAACGGGGUCGAUGAAAAGGUUAACGUCGGGUUUAGGUCGAUCGUACGCCUUCUCUUUCCCUCCACUCGCCCCUCCCUCUCUUCCUCUAAUCGACUCCCCUCUAGGUUGCUUGGUUUCCCCAGUUUCGAUCAGAGUUUCUACUAGCGGCGACGUUCGAUCGGUGUCCGAAUGACGUACACGGAUAUGCUCGUAACUCACGUUCGACCCUAGUCUUUUGCCUAAACUCAAGUAAUUUCCAUUGCUUUUCUCGUCAUCACGUGCAAUACGAUCUCGCCACCGAUUCACCCACUCUCAUCGCCAACGAUUCAUCAGACGUUAUAAACAACGAGCUAUGGCACAAUCUGGUGAACUCAUCGAAUCGGCAGAUCUUCGAAGCUAUUCACGAGGCUCGUUGUUCUUCGUUGACGAGUCUCAGGCCGCGAUCACGAAACGUUAACGUUCGCUGGAAAUUUCUGGUCCGGUUGGAUCGAAUCGAAUCGAUUUCAUUGCUUCAGAGUUUCGCUGGUAAUCACUGUACACACGGUACAUCGACAACGUCGUUUAAGUACAAAAAAUACGAUAGGGGGAGUAGUUGUUAAAGGGAGAAAAGGGCGGGAAUCUUCCACCUAGACAGGAAUACGCGUCUCUGUAAUUAUCGAUGGCACGCGACGCUCGUUACAUCAUUCACCGUCUCGUUUUACUCUAGCGGCUGGAUGUUACGGGGUUCCCUACAUCGCAUCCUAUUAGUAACUCUGUACUUCGGCUACCCCUUGCAACCACCGCGUUGUCGUAAUUUCAACGUAAUCCUGUUCGAUUCUGUAAAAUUUAAUCGAUUCGAAAGAACGAAUCUCCUCGGACGUUCCAAGACUCCGGCAAAGAAAGGAGAGAGACAAGAGAAGGGGCUGUGGAAGAUGGAAAAGAGGCCGAGCGUAGGUUAGGGCAUGCAGAAAUCGCGGUAAGAAUUGAUUAGCCGUUGAAUUAACGGGCGCGGCACGUUUGCGAUUCGAGAGAGGAGGAGGCUUGCGAAGGUAGUCGUUGGGUUGGAGUUGGAUUUCACCGGUGAUGGAGGUGGCGGUGGUGGUGGUAGUGGUGGUGGUGAUGCGGCGGUGGUUGUGGUGUUGGUGGUGAUGGUGGUGGUGACAGUAUUGGUGGUCGUGCUCUGGUCUCGUAGAUGCACGUGGAGAUGGUAGAACCUAUGGUGGUUACUAGUGCUGGUGGUGACGGUGAUGGUGUGGUAGUAUGCCGGGUGAAUGGGGUGGGCUGUCAUUUAACCUUCCUGUCGGUUGGUAGAGGGCACAGCCGCUAGGCGGCGACACGUUUGAUCGUGAGGAAAACGUGGUAGAGGGAGCGGGCACGGAAAAGGGGAAACGAAAGCUGCAGGUUAUCCCCGUUCGUUACGGCAGCUAUCGUCGUCGUCGUCGUUGUCGAAGAACGCGUCUGUGUUUAGCCGGUUGUUCGAACAUUGUGUACGUUCUGAUAUCCUUUUCAAGAAUCGUACGAGAAACCUACCAUCGAGAUAUAGAAGCGUCUACACACACAUACACGUCUAUGACAAUCAGCGGGAGCAGCAAGAAGAACAUUGGAAAAACCGAAUACGCUCCGCCAUGUUCAUCCCCGUGAGAGACACCUUAGACAAGAGAAACCCCCAUAGAUGUGUAGAGCCUAGAAUAAUCAAACGGCACAAGUUGAAGCCAGCGAUUCACUUGGACAAUCGGUACCGGUUAAUGAGAAACGAGCCUAUGCUGGACGCGGACGGAAAUGAAACCGAUCAAAUCGGCGAGGACGAAACUGCGCCACCUAGCCCAGAGGAAAUACUCGCUAUAAUGGAAGAAAAGGGUCACGAUUAUUUUACCAUGCGUUUACCACGGCUAAAGAUUACGGAAUAGAAAACCUUGUAUCGCGUUCGAAUUAUUUUCUCAAAUACCAAUAAAUAAUUUCUCCUUUCGAA